rnacentral:rRNA from 1 species
UACGAAGGGGGCUAGCGUUGCUCGGAAUUACUGGGCGUAAAGGGAGCGUAGGCGGAUAGUUCAGUCAGAGGUGAAAUCCUGGAGCUCAACUCCAGAACUGCCUUUGAUACUGAGGAUCUUGAGUUCGGGAGAGGUGAGUGGAACUGCGAGUGUAGAGGUGAAAUUCGUAGAUAUUCGCAAGAACACCAGUGGCGAAGGCGGCUCACUGGCCCGAUACUGACGCUGAGGCACGAAAGCGUGGGGAGCAAACAGG